rnacentral:rRNA from 1 species
UACGAAGGGGGCUAGCGUUGCUCGGAAUUACUGGGCGUAAAGCGCACGUAGGCGGAUUGUUAAGUCGGGGGUGAAAUCCUGGAGCUCAACUCCAGAACUGCCUUCGAUACUGGCGAUCUCGAGUUCGGGAGAGGUGAGUGGAACUGCGAGUGUAGAGGUGAAAUUCGUAGAUAUUCGCAAGAACACCAGUGGCGAAGGCGGCUCACUGGCCCGGUAACUGACGCCUGGAGGUGCG